UACUUCUAUUUAUUUCUGUAGGAUACAGAAUUGGGUUGAAGAUCUCUACUGGAAACAGCUCGACAUAAACUACCCUGGCAUUUUUGUUGCCAUGGUUCAUCGUGGAUUUAUUAUGCUUAUCGUAAUACGACGAUGCAACUUGGUACUAUGGAUGCUGUUAAAAGAGCCAAGGAUUUAUAUGGAGACAUCAACAUCAUGGUGACAGGGCAUUCUAUUGAUGGGCUCUUGCAUCCUUUUGGGGACUUGAUCUUGUGCAGGGCAGUUCAUACUCAUGACCUCUUUGACGAUACGUAAGGCUGUAUGAUAUUGGAUUUGGUAGUCUGGUUUAUGAGGUCGAGAAAGUUUGUGAUGGCUCUGGAGAAGAUCCAAUCUGCAGCAGACCAGCCUGUUCAAGAGAAUGCCAGUCCUUGAUUACCAGAAACACCUACGGACGACUAAUCAAAGUGUGUUUCUGCAUCUUGGUAACUGGUAACAGCAUCUUGGACCAUUUACCCUACUAUGGUGUGGAAUUAAUGGCGGAGACAUGGGGAUCGUGCAAAAUCGUCAUGGACCCACGAUUGAAGGAGUAUGGAAGUGAAGACAAAGGAAACCUUAUGCUUUUGAGGAAUCCUUCUGCUUCUGUAUUGAGGCUGCGUUAAGACUCUGAUCCCAAGAGUAACUUAACAUAAAAUGCUCCUAAGUCAGCACCUAAUUUCUUGAGGAUCAUUA